UACGGAGGGGGCUAGCGUCGUUCGGAAUUACUGGGCGUAAAGCGCACGUAGGCGGCUUUGUAAGUUAGAGGUGAAAGCCCGGGGCUCAACCCCGGAAUUGCCUUUAAGACUGCAUCGCUAGAAUUGUGGAGAGGUAAGUGGAAUUCCGAGUGUAGAGGUGAAAUUCGUAGAUAUCAGGAAGAACACCCGUGGCGAAGGCGGCUCUCUGGGACGGUACUGACGCUGAGACGCGAAAGCGUGGGGAGCGAACAGG
rnacentral:rRNA from 1 species